AUUGAACGUUGGCGGCAUGCCUUACACAUGCAAGUCGAACGGCAGCACGGAGCUUGCUCUGGUGGCGAGUGGCGAACGGGUGAGUAAUAUAUCGGAACGUACCCUAGAGUGGGGGAUAACGUAGCGAAAGUUACGCUAAUACCGCAUACGAUCUAAGGAUGAAAGUGGGGGAUCGCAAGACCUCAUGCUCGUGGAGCGGCCGAUAUCUGAUUAGCUAGUUGGUAGGGUAAAAGCCUACCAAGGCAUCGAUCAGUAGCUGGUCUGAGAGGACGACCAGCCACACUGGAACUGAGACACGGUCCAGACUCCUACGGGAGGCAGCAGUGGGGAAUUUUGGACAAUGGGCGAAAGCCUGAUCCAGCAAUGCCGCGUGAGUGAAGAAGGCCUUCGGGUUGUAAAGCUCUUUUGUCAGGGAAGAAACGGUGGGAGCUAAUAUCUCUUGCUAAUGACGGUACCUGAAGAAUAAGCACCGGCUAACUACGUGCCAGCAGCCGCGGUAAUACGUAGGGUGCAAGCGUUAAUCGGAAUUACUGGGCGUAAAGCGUGCGCAGGCGGUUUUGUAAGUCUGAUGUGAAAUCCCCGGGCUCAACCUGGGAAUUGCAUUGGAGACUGCAAGGCUAGAAUCUGGCAGAGGGGGGUAGAAUUCCACGUGUAGCAGUGAAAUGCGUAGAUAUGUGGAGGAACACCGAUGGCGAAGGCAGCCCCCUGGGUCAAGAUUGACGCUCAUGCACGAAAGCGUGGGGAGCAAACAGGAUUAGAUACCCUGGUAGUCCACGCCCUAAACGAUGUCUACUAGUUGUCGGGUCUUAAUUGACUUGGUAACGCAGCUAACGCGUGAAGUAGACCGCCUGGGGAGUACGGUCGCAAGAUUAAAACUCAAAGGAAUUGACGGGGACCCGCACAAGCGGUGGAUGAUGUGGAUUAAUUCGAUGCAACGCGAAAAACCUUACCUACCCUUGACAUGGCUGGAAUCCUUGAGAGAUCAGGGAGUGCUCGAAAGAGAACCAGUACACAGGUGCUGCAUGGCUGUCGUCAGCUCGUGUCGUGAGAUGUUGGGUUAAGUCCCGCAACGAGCGCAACCCUUGUCAUUAGUUGCUACGAAAGGGCACUCUAAUGAGACUGCCGGUGACAAACCGGAGGAAGGUGGGGAUGACGUCAAGUCCUCAUGGCCCUUAUGGGUAGGGCUUCACACGUCAUACAAUGGUACAUACAGAGCGCCGCCAACCCGCGAGGGGGAGCUAAUCGCAGAAAGUGUAUCGUAGUCCGGAUUGUAGUCUGCAACUCGACUGCAUGAAGUUGGAAUCGCUAGUAAUCGCGGAUCAGCAUGUCGCGGUGAAUACGUUCCCGGGUCU
rnacentral:rRNA from 1 species